UAGAGGUGGCGGUGGCUGAGCGGCUCAGCUUCAAACCAAAGUAAACAGACGGAGAAUGAAAGGGAGCUGCCGAGCGCCUAGACGUGAAGGGGCACCGGACAUGUCCACUCACCGGUUCUUUUUCCUCGCAGGGCCUCGAGUACUUGAGCUUCUCGACUUGACAUCACUUUUCCAUGAAGAAAAGGAUUUUGUUUCCCUUUUUUGCUGGUAAAUACAGGCACUUGCCAACAGCAACAAUGGCGUGCAAAUUGCCAAAGUCAAAUUGAG
rnacentral:lncRNA from 1 species